UCGGCGCCCCGGCGCCCUGCGGGUCUGUGCUGGCAGAGGCCCGAGAGCCGCGUCCCGGGCGGCGGGAGAGCAGCCUGUCGCGUCUGGCGAGGAGGAGCGGUGUCCCCAACAGGUGAGGAGUACAGAAGAGGAGACCAUCAUCUUGUCCGGGAGGGGCUCUCAGCAGAGGCCUGUCCUCUGCCCCAAGUGAGGAGUACAGAAGAGGAAACCAUCAUGUUGUCCUGGAGUGGCUCUCAGCAGAGGAAAAGGUUAAUCUCACUGACGUGAGGAAGAUCAGGAACCUUCAAAAGGUGGAAACAAGCCAGGUGACCACCGACAGGGAAAGGCCUGCAUAUGUGCCUGUGUAUACAAAGACAUAGCUAAGAGUAUUCAUGCAACCUGACCCAUAGAAACCUCAGCCUGGAAACAACCCAGAAGUUCUUCCACUGGAGAACGGAUCAACAAAUUGUGGCAUGAAUGUGCAAUGGAGUAAUA